rnacentral:tRNA from 1 species
GAGGGUAGAGCUCAGUGGUAGAGCACAUGCUUAACAUGCACGAGGUCCUGGGUUCCCCAGUACCUCCA